CCCGGGCAGUAUAAAGUUUGCUGUCUCCUUUGUUCGCCCUCGUUGCGCAGUAGUGCUAGCGGCUUCGCGGUUCGGUUCUCGGACCCGGCAGCCGCCACUGGUGCUGAGCCGCUAGGAAGCCCCUAUCGGCGAGCUCGUUGGAGCUUGAACCCAUUGUCACCCCUCCGACUCACCGGCCAAAAAAAAAAAAAAAAUGGUUGAAGCAGAUCGCCCAGGAAAGCUCUUCAUUGGUGGGCUUAAUACGGAAACAAAUGAGAAAGCUCUUGAAGCAGUAUUUGGCAAAUAUGGACGAAUAGUGGAAGUACUCUUGAUGAAAGACCGUGAAACCAACAAAUCAAGAGGAUUUGCUUUUGUCACCUUUGAAAGCCCAGCAGACGCUAAGGAUGCAGCCAGAGACAUGAAUGGAAAGUCAUUAGAUGGAAAAGCCAUCAAGGUGGAACAAGCCACCAAACCAUCAUUUGAAAGUGGUAGACGUGGACCGCCUCCACCUCCAAGAAGUAGAGGCCCUCCAAGAGGUCUUAGAGGUGGAAGAGGAGGAAGUGGAGGAACCAGGGGACCUCCCUCACGGGGAGGACACAUGGAUGACGGUGGAUAUUCCAUGAAUUUUAACAUGAGUUCUUCCAGGGGACCACUCCCAGUAAAAAGAGGACCACCACCAAGAAGUGGGGGUCCUCCUCCUAAGAGAUCUGCACCUUCAGGACCAGUUCGCAGUAGCAGUGGAAUGGGAGGAAGAGCUCCUGUAUCACGUGGAAGAGAUAGUUACGGAGGUCCACCUCGAAGGGAACCGCUGCCCUCUCGUAGAGAUGUUUAUUUGUCCCCAAGAGAUGAUGGGUAUUCUACUAAAGACAGCUAUUCAAGCAGAGAUUACCCAAGUUCUCGUGAUACUAGAGAUUAUGCACCACCACCACGAGAUUAUACUUACCGUGAUUAUGGUCAUUCCAGUUCACGUGAUGACUACCCAUCAAGAGGAUAUAGCGAUAGAGAUGGAUAUGGUCGUGAUCGUGACUAUUCAGAUCAUCCAAGUGGAGGUUCCUACAGAGAUUCAUAUGAGAGUUAUGGUAACUCACGUAGUGCUCCACCUACACGAGGGCCCCCGCCAUCUUAUGGUGGAAGCAGUCGCUAUGAUGAUUACAGCAGCUCACGUGACGGAUAUGGUGGAAGUCGAGACAGUUACUCAAGCAGCCGAAGUGAUCUCUACUCAAGUGGUCGUGAUCGGGUUGGCAGACAAGAAAGAGGGCUUCCCCCUUCUAUGGAAAGGGGGUACCCUCCUCCACGUGAUUCCUACAGCAGUUCAAGCCGCGGAGCACCAAGAGGUGGUGGCCGUGGAGGAAGCCGAUCUGAUAGAGGGGGAGGCAGAAGCAGAUACUAGAAACAAACAAAACUUUGGACCAAAAUCCCAGUUCAAAGAAACAAAAAGUGGAAACUAUUCUAUCAUAACUACCCAAGGACUACUAAAAGGAAAAAUUGUGUUACUUUUUUUAAAUUCCCUGUUAAGUUCCCCUCCAUAAUUUUUAUGUUCUUGUGAGGAAAAAAGUAAAACAUGUUUAAUUUUAUUUGACUUUUGCAUUGCUUUUCAACAAGCAAAUGUUAAAUGUGUUAAGACUUGUACUAGUGUUGUAACUUUCCAAGUAAAAGUAUCCCUAAAGGCCACUUCCUAUCUGAUUUUUCCCAGCAAAUGAGGCAGGCAAUUCUAAGAUCUUCCACAAAACAUCUAGCCAUCUAAAAUGGAGAGAUGAAUCAUUCUACCUAUACAAACAAGCUAGCUAUUAGAGGGUGGUUGGGGUAUGCUACUCAUAAGAUUUCAGGGUGUCUUCCAACUGAAAUCUCAAUGUUCUCAGUAUGAAAAACCUGAAAUCACAUGCCUAUGUAAGGAAAGUGCUAUUCACCCAGUAAACCCAAAAAAGCAAAUGGAUAAUGCUGGCCAUUUUGCCUUUCUGACAUUUCCUUGGGAAUCUGCAAGAACCUCCCCUUUCCCUUCCCCCAAUAAGACCAUUUAAGUGUGUGUUAAACAACUACAGAAUACUAAAUAAAAAGUUUGGCCAAAACCAACCAUGAAGCUGCAAAGGUGCUUGCUCUUACUGUUUCAAAUUUUUGCAACUCUGUAGUGUCUCACUUUUAAAGGAACAGCUUGAUUGCAAAGGAGAAAAUAGAUAAGCAAUGAAGUUAUCUCCAACUUCCUAAAGGCUUAUGACUUCUAAAAAGUGAAUCUAUCAGCAUUCCACAUCAGAUUUAAAGCAUCAAAUGCCUGUGAAACAGCAAAGAUGGUAAGCAAAGCAAACUAGUUUUUCCGUCUAAGUCGAAAUUGAACACUUACCUUCCUCAUAGUACAGUGAAACAUACUGUACCUCAAGGCAAUGGAAAUGCCUUCUAGAUUAAAAAAAAAACUUUUGGAAAAAAGAAAUGUUCAAUAGCAUAUUAGAAGUCCUCCAAAUUCAACACUUGGAUUUUUUUUUUUUUUUUUUAAGCAUGUGUGACACUUAAAGGCUUUAUUAAUAGAGCUGUUGUUUACCAAUGGCGAUCUGGGGCUUGGGAGGGGGUAUUUUUUUUCAAAGUCCAUUUUUGAUGAAGACCUUUAAACAUGCUUCAUAUGUUUUAACAUUUUUUUCAAAUUAGUCUUUUAGUCAAUAUAGGAAAUGGCUUAAGUUUGGGGUCCCCCUUUUUACCCCUGUAAGCCAUUGCAAACUUGACAUUUAGUUGGAUGCCUGACUUGUUUUUAGUUCUAUGAAACUACACUGUAUGGAGAAAAUCUAUUGCAAGUGGUCUUUAAAAAGCAAAACCUGAGGCAGCAUGACCCAGGUCCAGCCAUGAAGUUGAAAAAGAUGCUCUUGAAUAUAGUAAACUUGAAGACCUCCAACUAAAAAUCCUUAUACUGCACUUAUUCCUUCAAAUAAGUUUUGUUCGUUCAACUUAUGGAUUUAACGUGGCAGUGCACCAUUGGAACAGAAUGACAAUCCAUAAGCCAUGCAACUUAACCAUUUAAGCCAUUCCAGUCCAUCCCGAGCCAGUGAAUCUUCCACCACUUAAGAGAAAUAGUAGAACAUGAAAUAUAUUAAGCUGCAAGUCUGAACUUGCCUUUUCUUUCUGGAAAAGAGGGCAGUAAUAGGCAAGUUUUAAAAGAAUUUCCUUAAGAGAGAUAACUAGUUUUCAUUUAUUUAACUUUUGCAGGUUGAUGAUUUUGCUCAUUAUGGUCGUGGAGUGCUGAUUGAUUCACAGUAGAUAAAGCUGGCAGUAAGAAAUGCUAAGAGUUGUUGAAGCAGAAGGCGGCUGAUUGUCAAUAAGUCACUACAGUUGCAUAAGCAGUGCUGUCAGAAUUGGUUUGGUGCAGGCAAUAGAUUUUGCCUUCAGGGGUUCCUGUGGAUCUGAGGAAGGCAUCAGUGUUGAUUAACACUCAUAACUAGGGAGUGACUGGUAGUUACUUAAAGCAAGUAAUUGACCAAAUGGAAAAGGGGAAGUAAUUAAGGAAAUUGGUAAGUGGAGGUAGUCAGGAAGUUCUUGUGGUUCUUUACAUAGAUUUUACAGCUUUGGCUUUCAUUUUGUUUAGCUAAAGUCAUGGGGACAACUCUUCAAUUUAGAACUUAAGUUGAAUUAUAAAAAUGAUGGAUAUAAGUGGUAGCUCUAUCUAGUGAAGUGUCUGUCAGUAAGUGAAACAUUUUUUGGUGGUGGCUUAUCCACAAACAGUUUAGUUGCAGAAUAAAACUUAUGAGUGACAUCUGGAAAGUAACCAUGCUAAGAUGGCAAGCACACUGGAAACAAUUAGGCCACUUGGCUUUCUUUUGCUGUAUUGUUUUAUAAGCCUACUUUACCUCCCAGUCUUGGAAACAAGUUUUAGUUUUUUAUUGGUUUGGAGACUAGAGCCAAUAGUAUAAUGUUCUCAAAGGAAACAGACUUGAGUUGUUGGAUUAGAGGAACUAACCCAACUUCUAUGAUUUUUUUUUGUUUGUUUGUUUUUGUUUUUGUCGUGUAGUUAUGGCACUGUCUUAUUUGGAACAUUUGCAACUAGGGAUAAUACAACAUUUUUAACUCUCAUUUGACAACCUACUACUAAUCACAGACCACAAGGGUAAUGACCAAAUUUAUGUGGUUUUUGCACUCCAUAGUUGUCUUAGCCCAAUCCUUCUAUACUCUUACGAUUACUUGGGUUAACGCUUCUGUGAGGACCUUCUGGCUCUUGAGAUACCCUAAAUAUUUAAGAUAUUUAGAUAUCUUGAAGAUAGUAUAGGAUAUAGAGAUUGUACCAAAUAGGAAUAUAAGGAGUAUGUUAAAAUGACCAGAUACCUGUUUGAUAGUUUACUGACCUAGCAGAUGUGUGGAAAAGGAAUCAGAUCUUGAUUCUUCUGGGUUUAUACUGGUUGUAAAACAGAAUUAUACAGAAAAUGUUUUCCUUGUUUAACUGGUAGUUGAACAUAGAACUUGGGUAUUAUAGAUCACUUUUCACUUUUUGGAAUGUUUUGUAUUGAAACUUAAUAAAACUUUAACAUGGCA